UGAUGGACAGGGAGGCCUGGUGUGCUGUGAUUCAUGGGGUCGCAAGAGUCAGGCAUGACUGAGCGACUGAACUGAACUGAACUGAACUGACAGGCCCACAUGAGGCCAUGUGUGGUCACGGAACAGUUUCAGAGAAAAGGGCUCAAAUGGAUAUGAAUUUGAGGAAACUCCGGGAGAUAGUGAAGGACAGGGAAGACUGACAUGCUGCAGUCCAUAGGGUCACAAAGAGUCAGAUAUGACUUAGCGACUGAACAACAAAGGGUAGAGUUGAUGGGCACUGCGGGGCCUACCUAUGCUACUGAGAACUCCUCCAGCAGGGCUCAGCAAGGGCAAGCUCCAGAAGCUGGGCCUGAUGGGGGCAGAGCUGUUGCCUGUUCCCAGGCAUCACUCUCCCCUUUUUAAGCAAGACGCACAGGGAUAGUUUUCAGCUUCCCUUGAACACAGGUGUGACCAUGUGAUUAAACUGUGCCCAGUGUGAAACUUCAGGCUCCUGGUCUUAAAAAAGCAACAUUCUCUUUCUCCCUCUCAUGUGCUGGGAUGCAUACAUGGUGCUAGUGAUUGAGCAUCAACCACGGAUGAGGCAAGACUCCAGGGGAUGGUGGAGCAACAGUCAGAAGGCCUCUGAGGCCCCGGAUGACGCCAUGGCUCAGGCCACCUCCUCCUGGCUCCCUGUCUUCACUUUUGAGGAAAACAGGCUUCCAUCUUGUGAGCCCUGGGGUUUAGCGUUUGGCUGCAGCAGCUUAGCCUACACCCUAAUUAAAUCAGGGACAUUUGCCACACUUAGUUUUCCUGGUUCUGGAAGCAAUAAUGUUUCUGCUACUGUGGAUGCUUUAGAGAAUAAAAUGUUCUCUUCUUAAUUGGGGAAGACAACGAAGGAUGAAUAGUUUAACAUUUUUUCAUACACCCGCCAGUGGCCAUCAACAGAAAGACGAGAGAGAGAGAGAGAGAGAGAGAGAGAGAGAGAAAAUGACUUCCCUACUCCACAUCUAGAUUUCAAGAGGAGUCUUUCUCACUCAAAGUGUUGAAUCUUAUCUGUACAGUCUAUGGAAUUCUCUAGGCCAGAAUACUGGAGUGGGUAGCCUUUC
rnacentral:lncRNA from 1 species